AUUUCCCUGGCAAGAAUACUGCAGUGGGUUGCCAUUGCUUACUCCAGCGGAUCUUCCCAACCCAGGGGUUGAAUCCGAGUGUCUUGUGAAUCCUGAAUUUGCUGGCAGAUGCUUUACCACCAGCGCCACUGAAAGUGGAGCUUGCUGGAAUCAUGGUUCAGUGUGCCUGGGAAGAAGAUAGAGCCACAGCCCUCCCUGCUGAAAAGCUAUCAGUGGCCGGUGGGUGGUACCUGGUGGCUGGAUCUGAGUUGUCAAGAUAGAAUGUCACCAUCCGGAGAGACCAGAGGGCUCCAAAAGCCCUGGAACAGUCCUGAUUCUUGUCAGACUGUGGAAAAAGAGCAUAAAUUGGGUCUUCAGAAGCAGGGAUGUGUUUUCCUUUGACUUCAAUGGACCUUUCGACAGCUUCUGGGUUUUCUAUUCCUUCUCACUUAAAGGCUGGAUUACAGUUGACCUGAUCACAUUGGAUCUUCCGUCAGUCUUGUCAAGUAACUAAGCUGGUCAAAUGACAGAAUGAACCCCUAUAAAUUGUUCAGAAGGAAAAAAUGCAAUUCUUUAUAAAUUGGAAGGAAAAAAUGCAAUCUGUAUUUGUAAAAUGUCAUUAGUGACACUAUGAUGAGGAAGAAAAACGGAUACCUGUGUUUUGGC
ensembl:lncRNA